UAAGAUGCCGAUCGGGUGGACGGGAUACCCAGAAAGGCUCUGCCCUAUUUAAAAACAGAAUUUCGAGUGUUUUUAUGUGACCAUUCAUUUGGGAACGUGUUGGAGACAGCAGCAGAUUUUAACACGUGGCAUUAUUCUUUAAAAUAGCAUUUAUUUUCAGAAGUAUGUGUUGAUUGUACAUUGAUUAAAAUAUUUGUGCUUUACAGGUAAAAAAACGUAAAAACAUUUUUUUGGGCUGUACGUAAUUCAGGACAAAUCGACGAACAUGAAAACUUGGAUCGCAUUGAUCAACUAUUGAAUGCACCGUUUAUUAAUAAUACAACGGGUCAGAACAGAUCAGUCAACAGACGUGCACUACGAGAUAUUUCAAAUGUUGACUUGUCAUCGAUUGUCUCACAUCCGGGGUUCGCAACGCCUGAACUUUUUAAUGCUGAAAAUUCCAUGGCCAUUAGAUUAGACAGUUUGAUCGGUCUUGUUGACAGUUAUGUAAAAUUGCAUGACACCAGACACAUACUAUCCUACACAGACAACAUUGUGAGGAAUAAAAAGAACUUCACUUUGCAAAGUCAGUUGUUAAAAAGUUUCAAGUGUUGUAUAAUAAAAGGCAGCUGUUCCCAGAUUAUACAACACUACCAUAUGGCUACUAAUAAUUUUUUUAAUCACUGCAGUGUGCGGGAGGUUGAUGGUUUUGAUUUUAGGAUUCAACAUACUUUUUCAUGUGUAAUAAGUGGACUUUCAAAUUCUGGAAAGUCUUAUUUUGUAAAAAUGUUG